rnacentral:rRNA from 1 species
GGACCAGGCCGCUUGUUUAUCAAAAACAUGUCUUUUUGAUUAUAAUUUAAAGUCUAACCUGCCCACUGAAUAUUUUGAAGGGCCGCGGUAUUUUGACUGUGCAAAGGUAGCAUAAUCAUUAGUCUUUUAAUUGGAGGCUUGUAUGAAUGGUUGGAUGAGGUAUUAACUGUCUCAAUUUAAUAAAUAAUAGAAUUUUAUUUUUAAGUUAAAAAGCUUAAAUUUAAUUAAAAGACGAGAAGACCCUAUAGAUCUUUAUAUUUAAAUUUGUAAUAAUUUUUUAGAAUAAAUUUAUUUUUAUUAAUUAAAGUAUUAAAUUGGGGUGAUUAAAAAAUUUGUAAAACUUUUUUUGUAUAUAAACAGUGAUAUUUGAAUAAUUGAUCCAUUUUUUGUGAUUAUAAGAUUAAGUUACCUUAGGGAUAACAGCGUAAUUUUUUUGGAGAGUUCAUAUCGAUAAAAAAGAUUGCGACCUCGAUGUUGAAUUAAAGGUUAAUUUUAGGUGUAGAAGUUUAAAAUUUGGGUCUGUUCGACCAUUAAAUCUUUACAUGAUCUGAGUUCAAACCGG